rnacentral:tRNA from 1 species
UAGCUCAAUGGUAGAGUGCUUGCCUUGCAUGCAUGAGGCCCUGGGUUCGAUUACUCAG